rnacentral:rRNA from 1 species
GACGAACCACCCAAACGUUAUUCGGAAUUACUGGGCUUAAAGGGUGCGUAGGCGGUGCGGAAAGUCAGGUGUGAAAUCCCUCGGCUCAACCGAGGAACUGCGCUUGAAACUACCGUGCUCGAGUGAGACAGAGGUGAGCGGAACUUCGGGUGGAGCGGUGAAAUGCGUUGAUAUCCGAAGGAACACCGGUGGCGAAAGCGGCUCACUGGGUCUUUUCUGACGCUGAUGCACGAAAGCUAGGGGAGCAAACGGG